GAACACCGGCUAACAUGAACAUAAUUUUUUUUACACUGACUACUCGGUAGCGUGAACACGGUGAGAAAGCCCUAUAACGUGAACAAAUUUAAAAUGCAUUUAAAACGUUAUUUUCUUUUCUACAUGCAUACAUAUGUUUGUUAAUUAUGCGAAUCGUUUUUAUAAAACGGGGAAUACCCGUAAAUUAUUGCUUAUGAGUAUACUGGGGUGGAUCGAUGUGGAUGCUUAGCAAACCAGUACAGUGUUGCAAAAUCAACAAUUUGCGCUAUCAACAAAAAAAAGAGAACAUUUUAAAAUGUGUUAACAGUACAUUUGCUGGGCCUGGAAAGCGGAAGACUUUGAAGUGUUCUGAACUUCCUAAAAUGGAAAAAGCGCUUUACAGUUGGUUCCUUAAACAGCGACAAAAAAAUGACCCUGUCAAUGGAUUGAUAGUUAAAGAAAAAGCUAAAUUUUUUCAUUCAAUAAUUAAAGAAACUCAAAGUGAUUUUAAUGCGAGUGAUGGAUGGUUGCAACGCUUUAAGAAGCGUUAUGGUGUGCGUUUUAUUAAAAUAAGUGGAGAAAAGUUAAGUUAGUUAGUUAGUUAGUUAACUCGGCUAUAAUCGCUUAAGCGGUUUCUACGCCAAUUAAGAAGAAGAAGAAGGAGAAAAGUUAUCUUCUAGACCUAAACUUGUGGACCCUUUCAAAAACAAGCUGCAAGCCAAAGUUAAAGAGCUAGGUCUGUCGCACCAUCAAAUAUAUAAUGCAGACGAACCGGGACUAUUUUGGAAGCUGCUACCUGACAAAACAUACGUAUCCUCACAAGAAAAAAAUGCUCCUGGAAGAAAAACGGAAAACAGCGUGUCACUUUUCUGGCUUGUACAAACGCAACAGGGGUGCAUAAAGUUAAACUUCUUGUUAUUGGAAAGGCAAAAAAUCCUAGCUCUUUUAAAAAUUUUGAUUCUCCUGUUGACUACAAUUGCUCCAAGUCGUCAUGGAUGACGGCUGCCAUUUUUAAACAUUGGUUUCACCAUUCGUUUGUACCACAGGUCAGGAAAUUUUUAAAAGAUCAAGGAUUGCCCAAUAAAGCUCUGCUGUUGAUAGACAAUGCUCCAUCUCAUCCUCCCGAAAAUGAAUUGAGAUCAGAUGACGAGUUAAUAACUGCAAUGUUUAUGCCACCUAAUGUCACUCCACUCAUACAGCCAAUGGAUCAAUAUGCCAUACGUCUUACAAAACUUUUCUACAGAAACAGUCUUUUGGCAUCAAUUGUAGCCACAGGGACUGAUGUUAUUGAAGCCCUAAAGAAAUUGACGUUAAGAGACGCUAUUGGCUAUUUAGAUUUAGCUUGGUAACGUCUUGAAAAGGAAACAAUAGCAAAAUACUGGACGAACAAUUUAAGCUCUAUAGAAGAUGAAAAAGACAGUGAUGAGGAUAUUCCAUUAGCUACUUUGAGAGAAAGGAUUUGUUUACCAAUUAACAGCCAACAAGAACGCGCAAUAGAACUGCUUCAUGCAAUUAAUCCAGAGGUUAGUUUUUCAAUUGCUGAUGUCAACGAUUGGACUGAAGAUUUUCCUAACUCAACCGAAACGAACGAGGUUUUAACUAGUGAUGAAAGUGAAAGCGAGGAUAGUAAUCUGGAAAGACCACAUACAAGAAUAGAGCCUAGUGAAGUAAUCAACAUUUUUAAUAAAGCUUUGGAAUGGGCGGAAGAUGAAAAUAUAAGUCCAACAGAUAUCAGCGUACUUAAACGUCACCGCGAAAAAGCCGUGUUCAGCAAUUUGCAAAAAAAGAAAAUCCAAAAAAAGAUAACCCAUUUUUUCCAAUAAUUUCAAUGGGUAUUUUUUUUCUUA
rnacentral:lncRNA from 1 species